rnacentral:rRNA from 1 species
CCUACGGGUGGCUGCAGUGGGGAAUAUUGCACAAUGGGGGAAACCCUGAUGCAGCGACGCCGCGUGAAGGAAGAAGUAUUUCGGUAUGUAAACUUCUAUCAGCAGGGAAGAAAAUGACGGUACCUGACUCAGAAGCCCCGGCUAACUACGUGCCAGCAGCCGCGGUAAUACGUAGGGGGCAAGCGUUAUACGGAUUUACUGGGUGUAAAGGGAGCGGAGGCGGUUUAGCAAGUCAGAAGUGAAAGCCCGGGGCUCAACUCCGGGACUGCUUUUGAAACUGUUGAACUAGAGUGCAGGAGAGGUAAGUGGAAUUCCGAGUGUAGCGGUGAAAUGCGUAGAUAUUAGGAGGAACACCAGUGGCGAAGGCGGCUUACUGGACUGUAAAUGACGCUGAGGCUCGAAAGCGUGGGGAGCAAACAGGAUUAGAUACCCGAGUAGUC